rnacentral:rRNA from 1 species
GUGGGGAAUAUUGGACAAUGGGGGGAACCCUGAUCCAGCCAUGCCGCGUGUGUGAAGAAGGCCUUUUGGUUGUAAAGCACUUUAAGCGAGGAGGAGGCUACCGAGAUUAAUACUCUUGGAUAGUGGACGUUACUCGCAGAAUAAGCACCGGCUAACUCUGUGCCAGCAGCCGCGGUAAUACAGAGGGUGCAAGCGUUAAUCGGAUUUACUGGGCGUAAAGCGCGCGUAGGUGGCCAAUUAAGUCAAAUGUGAAAUCCCCGAGCUUAACUUGGGAAUUGCAAUUGAGACUGGUUGGCUAGAGUAUGGGAGAGGAUGGUAGAAUUCCAGGUGUAGCGGUGAAAUGCGUAGAGAUCUGGAGGAAUACCGAUGGCGAAGGCAGCCAUCUGGCCUAAUACUGACACUGAGGUGCGAAAGCAUGGGGAGCAAACAGGAUUAGAUACCCGAGUAGUCC